rnacentral:rRNA from 1 species
GAUGAACGCUGGCGGCGUGCCUAAUACAUGCAAGUCGAGCGAACAGACGAGGAGCUUGCUCCUCUGACGUUAGCGGCGGACGGGUGAGUAACACGUGGAUAACCUACCUAUAAGACUGGGAUAACUUCGGGAAACCGGAGCUAAUACCGGAUAAUAUAUUGAACCGCAUGGUUCAAUAGUGAAAGACGGUUUUGCUGUCACUUAUAGAUGGAUCCGCGCCGCAUUAGCGAGUUGGUAAGGUAACGGCUUACCAAGGCAACGAUUCGUAGCCGACCUGAGGGGGUGGGCGGCCACACUGGAACUGAGACACGGUCCAGACGCCUACGGAAGGCAGCAGUAGGGAAUCUUCCGCAAUGGGAGAAAGCCUGACGGAGCAGCGCCGCGUGAGUGAUGAAGGUCUUCGGAUCGUAAAACUCUGUUAUUAGGGAAGAACAAAUGUGUAAGUAACUAUGCACUUCUUGACGGUACCUAAUCAGAAAGCCACGGCUAACUACGUG